UUUGGGAAUGAUAAAAUGUACCAAGGGUGUUUCUGAAGGAAAAUCCUAUAUAAAAUCUAAUGAAUAGCAAUUCCCAAUUUCAACAAACUCUGCUCAAGACGGUCCUGAUAUAAGAUCGCAAGGAACACCGCAUAGCCUCGCUCUUCAGAAUCAUUUUUGUGAUUUGAAUUUUCUACUUUCCGUCGGCGUGCCAUCGAAAGAGAAAUUGGAUUCAAGUCGACUGUAAUUAUAGGAAGUUGUGAUAUUGCAUAUGACGUCCUUAUAUCCCGCGAGCAUCAAUUACCGAUUAUUAUAUAUUAGAGAUGGUGAAAAUUUCCAACAGUCGAUGAAGUUUUCUAUUUUGAACAAUGAAAUUUUGCUCAAUUCUCCCACCACUUUCGAAAUGAUACUGGAACUUACGUUAAUAGAUUGACGUUGAAAAUUUGUUUCGCCCAUUUAAAUGAUUUUGAAGUGAUGGUUAACACCCUGACAGCUAUUUUCAACAAACCUGGAAAAUUAUUUUAAGGUUGAAAAAUUAUUUAUCUUCAAGUUAAUCGAAAAAUGUAAUGUAGAACAUGACUGCAUAAAAACCGAUUCUACAAAAUUAUACUGUUGAACUUGUGGUGCCUGCCCUGUUUCAGAUCUUUGAAAUAUGUCAAGAAUUGAAAAACAACACAUCAAGUUAAUUCACAUCGUUGAAGAAAAAGUUGUCUAUGGUACCUAUUUUGACAUAUCUUCGAGAAAAAUGAGCGAGUGAGACACCAAUUUUUUAUGUUAUAAUAUGUUAUGUUAUAUGCAGAAGAAAUGAAGAGUCGGAAAAAUAACAAUCAUUUGAGGUUCAUUCCAAAUUUGCAUCAAUUCAGGUAACAUGAAUCUAUCAUAGAGGUAACAUUUUGCAUGUCUAGGCAUUAAAGAUUAUUUUUUCAAUCUUGCUCUAGGUGCAUACGCAUCCGACCAAAUAAAUACUCUGAUAACAACUUUGUACAGAAAACAAAGUAACUGUGAGUAAAUUUUUGCAGAACAUGUCAUAUAUUUGAGGUAGAUACUAAUGAAAAGUACAACAUCAUGACAGAGUCCUAUUGUGAGGAAA